rnacentral:tRNA from 1 species
AAAGAUUUAGGAUACUUAGACCAAGGGCCUUCAAAGCCCUAAGAAGAAGCCACACCUUCUAAUCUUU